CCUACGGGAGACAGCAGUGGGGAAUAUUGCACAAUGGGCGAAAGCCUGAUGCAGCAACGCCGCGUGAGCGAUGAAGGUCUUCGGGUCGUAAAGCCUUGUCCUCAAGGAAGAUAAUGACGGGACUUGACGAGGAAGCCCUGUCUAACUACGUGCCAGAAGCCGUGGUAAUACGUAGGGGGCUAGCGUUAUCCGGAAUUACUGGGCGUAAGGGGUGCGUAGUUGGUUUCUUAAGUCAGAGGUGAAAGGCUACGGCUCAACCGUAGUAAGCCUUUGAAACUGGGAAACUUGAGUGCAGGAGAGGAGAGUGGAAUUCCUAGUGUAGCGGUGAAAUGCGUAGAUAUUAGGAGGAACACCAGUUGCGAAGGCGGCUCUCUGGACUGUAACUGACGCUGAGGCACGAAAGCGUGGGGAGCAAACAGGAUUAGAUACCCCUGUAGUC
rnacentral:rRNA from 1 species